AGCAGUUCUUGGGUGACACACCCCAGAAUCGGGCUCCCUCCUCUCUGGUUCUGGGUGUGUCACCUGAGAACCACA
rfam:Myotis davidii contig33396, whole genome shotgun sequence.